rnacentral:rRNA from 1 species
GACGAACGCUGGCGGCGUGCUUAACACAUGCAAGUCGAACGGUAAGGCCCUUCGGGGUACACGAGUGGCGAACGGGUGAGUAACACGUGGGUGAUCUGCCCUGCACUUCGGGAUAAGCCUGGGAAACUGGGUCUAAUACCGGAGAGGACCACUGCCUGCAUGGGUGGUGGUGGAAAGGUUUUGCGGUGUGGGAUGGGCCCGCGGCCUAUCAGCUUGUGGGUGGGGUGAUGGCCUACCAAGGCGACGACGGGUAGCCGGCCUGAGAGGGUGACCAGCCACACUGGGACUGAGAUACGGCCCAGACUCCUACGGGAGGCAGCAGUGGGGAAUAUUGCACAAUGGGCGCAAGCCUGAUGCAGCGACGCCGCGUGAGGGAUGACGGCCUUCGGGUUGUAAACCUCUUUCAGCACCGACGAAGCGCAAGUGACGGUAGGUGCAGAAGAAGGACCGGCCAACUACGUGCCAGCCGCCGCCGUAA